UACAGAGGUCUCAAGCGUUGUUCGGAUUCAUUGGGCGUAAAGGGGUGCGUAGGUGGCGCGCUAAGUCAGGUGUGAAAUUUCGGAGCUUAACUCCGAAACUGCAUUUGAUACUGGCGUGCUUGAGGGACUGGAGAGGAGACUGGAAUUCACGGUGUAGCAGUGAAAUGCGUAGAGAUCAGGAGGAACACCGAUGGCGAAGGCAGCAUCCUGGCCGAGUACUGACGCUGAGGCGCGAAAGCGUGGGGAGCGAACGGG
rnacentral:rRNA from 1 species